GAGUGAAGGAGCUUGAUCCCCCCUCACGGCUCAGUUAUUGACCCGAGCACCGGCUCUGCGCGCGCACCCAAAAAGUCUAGCACAGUCAGUCUUUCUAGACUGCUACCUACAAUGCCUGCUCCCUGCGACUCUUGUAAAGGUACGUGCGCUGGCGGCAAAGCCGCGUGUGGCGCCAACUGCACUUGCGGGCCCAACUGCGCUUGCGGUGAUGGCAAACCCUCGGGGGAUAAACCAUGCUGCAAGGGCAACAAGUAAAAUGAAUUCUCAACUUUUUCCAAUGAAGCUCUACUUUAUCUAACGUCUUUACAAUGUAGUGUAAUAUAUCUAACAUAUUUAUAUAAUAAUAGUUACACUGUAUGACGUAGUUGAUGUUUACUAAAUUCUAUAUUUUAUAGAAACAACAAAAUAUUGUGUCGUCAUGAAAUAAAAUGUAUUUGAAGUAAGAUUUAUUAUACUCUAAUUAUAUUGAUAUUUAAUAUCUUAAUUAGAUUAGUUUACAAAUGCGAUCACUAGAUGGCAGAUGUGUAACUGUCAUUGUCAAAAGUAACCAAUCAUAGAUCAGGAAUUUUGAUGUUGAAUGGUAUCAUAGUGCGCCAUCUAAUGAUAGCUAAUAGAACUUAUUGGUGUUUGCUUAUAAGGCUAUAUUGUAUGGAAAUUAUAUAUCGAAAUAAAAUGUCUAAUAUAGAAUUAGUUUCGUCGCAUUCAGUGUUAAUCUUCUUCUCUGCAUGAGAGUGAUGGUACUUGAAAUACUCAUUAAUAUUAGUAUUAUGUGAUGAGCACGCA